CUUCAACUGUCAAGAGUUCAAAUACUAGUGUCAGCACAAGAGACGACUUGGAUGGAUUGGAGUCAUUUACAAGCGAAUUUAAAAAGGUUGAGAACGAAAAAUAACAAUUAGACAUGUAUUUGGAAGAGCCUGAACUUAAUAGGAGAGAAGAACUUGACGUCUUACAAUAUUGGAAGGAUAAUCAAGGUAGAUAUCCUCAAUUGUCUCUCAUGGCUCGUGAUAUAUUGAGCAUCCCAAUCACUACUGUUGCUUCAGAGUCAUCUUUUAGUAUCGGGGGACGGGUUCUAAGUAAAUACCGAACUUCACUGCUUUCAUCAAGUGUCGAGGCUUUGUUAUGUGCUCGUGAUUGGUUGUUCGAUUUAGAAGAGGAAGAUGAGGAUGAUACGGAGGAUGGACUUGCAGAAGAUAUUGAAGCAUUGUAUCCAACGUAUCAAAGUAGCCAAGUUUAGGGGUCGUGGGACUACGUAGCUUGAUGGUGAGGUUGAAUGGACCGACUUAUGUUGUGAUGAUUUUGGAGAUUUGUGUUUAUGUUUUGGUUAUAUUGUAUGUUCGUGGUUCCUUAUGUUUUGUAUGCGAUGAUUUUAGAGAUAUUAACGCUUGGUUAAGAUUAA